AAUUCCUUUAAGUUUAGUCCCGUGAGGCUAAGAAGGGUGGGAGCAAGGAUACGUAUGGUGCGCCAUAAGUAGAUUGCUCAUUGACAUAGUAUAGCUAUCAGUGUAUCAGUAUACGCUCAGUCUAAACAUUCCUCCUGUCCUCUUAGGGCAGGAGUUUUUUUAU
rfam:Enterococcus faecium DO, complete genome.